UCUAUUCACGUCAACGCGUCUCUGCGGCUCUGCGCCUACCGACUACGUGGUCACAAUAGUCAUUCAAUAGGAGACGAGCGAAUUCAAUCAAUCAAGGGCAUACGGUAUCAGUAUGAAUUCGAGAACAUAUUUAGUUGUCACGAUACCCUUCAAAUAAAUUGUUUUUUUUUGUGUAUCUUUAAUAUGUAUAUUGCUCUUUAGCGAGAUGAAUAUUAUAAUUUAUAAUUAUA